UACGAAGGGGGCUAGCGUUGCUCGGAUUUACUGGGCGUAAAGGGCGCGUAGGCGGACAGUUAAGUCGGGGGUGAAAGCCCGGGGCUCAACCUCGGAAUUGCCUUCGAUACUGGCUGUCUUGAGUGUGAGAGAGGUGUGUGGAACUCCGAGUGUAGAGGUGAAAUUCGUAGAUAUUCGGAAGAAACACCAGUGGCGAAGGCGACACACUGG
rnacentral:rRNA from 1 species